AUCGCUUCUCAGCCUUUUGGCUAAGAUCAAGUGUAGAAAUUGCUCUAAUACAAACAAUUAUUCAGUAAGAGUUUUCUCCAAUAGAUUCUACAAUUAUUCUGUCCAAAAAUAUCUUUGAAGUUAUUUCUUAGCCUAUGUGUAAUUUUAAUGAUCACAAAGGAUGUUAGGAACAU
rnacentral:snRNA from 1 species